GACGAACGCUGGCGGCGUGCUUAACACAUGCGAGUCGAACGGAAAGGCCCUGCUUUUGUGGGGUGCUCGAGUGGCGAACGGGUGAGUAACACGUGAGUAACCUGCCCUUGACUUUGGGAUAACUUCAGGAAACUGGGGCUAAUACCGGAUAGGAGCUCCUGCUGCAUGGUGGGGGUUGGAAAGUUUCGGCGGUUGGGGAUGGACUCGCGGCUUAUCAGCUUGUUGGUGGGGUAGUGGCUUACCAAGGCUUUGACGGAUAGCCGGCCUGAGAGGGUGACCGGCCACAUUGGGACUGAGAUACGGCCCAGACUCCUACGGGAGGCAGCAGUGGGGAAUAUUGCACAAUGGGCGGAAGCCUGAUGCAGCAACGCCGCGUGCGGGAUGACGGCCUUCGGGUUGUAAACCGCUUUCGCCUGUGACGAAGCGUGAGUGACGGUAAUGGGUAAAGAAGCACCGGCUAACUACGUG
rnacentral:rRNA from 1 species